CUAUGACUGACUAUUAUUAUUCCCACUUGGAAGAUGAAGACACUGAGGUUCCAGGAAAUGAAAAAUUCAGUGCAAAAUCAUAAGACCAGAAGUGUUCAAGAACAAGAUUCAAACCAGCAGUCGCAUCAACCCAGUGUCCUGACUUUCAAGACAACCAUGAAAACGCCCCAACUGCUGCUAAAUUACCAGCAACAAGGAUCUGGAAUUUUCUUGACAAGAGCAGUGCCUAUCCUGAGGCAAUCGUAUUUCUCCUUGACUUCUCUCCAGUAUCAGCUUGUUGCUUGACACCACUGCACAGCCAACUGUAUAAUGUGGACAUUCUUACAAAAAAGAAAGAACACCGAAACUGACCUUACCCUGAAAAUAUGAUGGCUGAAGGAUUUAUGAUCACUUUUAACAUUUGAAAUUGAAGCAGAAUCUCAAGAAUACGACUCUGGUGAAAGGUCCUGUUUAUGCUUUUGAUGUCUUUCGGUUGGACAUUUACCAUAUGCCUAUUGGUAGGUUUUUUACACCAGGACAGUGAAGGUGAUACAGGAAUAAAUAAAACACUAUCCCUAUCCUUUAAUAUCAUGUAUUUAUGGGGCCAAUCAUAGCUUUUCAUUUUUCAAAAUCUUUGAUAAAUGUCAAAAUUAUGUUUUUUAACAUUUUUACAGAAUUAUUACUAUAUAUGAUAGAGGAUGGAAGGCAAGGUAGUAUGAAAUGGAAGAUAUUUUGAAUUAAGAUAUUUGGACCUGGGUUCAUAUUUUUGCUUUGGUCUUUAUUAACUGAGUGACCUUGGGAAAGUUCUUCUACUAAAAAGAAUAAAGAUACUAAUUACUUCAUGAAAUUGCUGUGAAAAGCACAUAAGAAGUAUAUCCACACUCAACAGUGUAUGCUCAGAAAUGAAGAUCCCUUUUCUCUUGCCUGCAAAUAAAGUCUUACAGUAAUACAGUGGGGGUAAAGAUUUAAAUUGGGGGAUUCAAGAAGGUUAUAGAAAGAGGUAGCAUUUUCAUAGGGGAAGGAGAGAGUCCAAGAAAUCAGAUCCAUUUUCUACAAAAAGAAAUAGGAAGACAGAUAAUUCAAGAAGAAAAGUUUACAUGAUUGAAGACCCGAAGUUAGAAAUAGUGAUGUGUCUCAACAGGAAGUUAGGAUUUGGGGUGGACACAGUUGUUGGAAGAAGGAUGAUUUCAGCAAAGGCCCGAGAGUUAGGUGACAAUUUCAAGUGUUUGUGAAGAUAUAUGAAAAAAACAUUAUAAAGUAGUUAGGAUAUAAGAAAUAGAGAGGAGGGAAUGAAUUAGCAUUUAUUGAGUGUCUUGCACGUUCCAAGCACUGUACUACUUGCCUUAUAAACCUUUUUUCAAUAAACACUUACAACAA